AGUGAACGCUGGCGGUAGGCCUAACACAUGCAAGUCGAACGGCAGCACAGUAAGAGCUUGCUCUUACGGGUGGCGAGUGGCGGACGGGUGAGGAAUACAUCGGAAUCUACUUUUUCGUGGGGGAUAACGUAGGGAAACUUACGCUAAUACCGCAUACGACCUACGGGUGAAAGCAGGGGAUCUUCGGACCUUGCGCGAUUGAAUGAGCCGAUGUCGGAUUAGCUAGUUGGCGGGGUAAAGGCCCACCAAGGCGACGAUCCGUAGCUGGUCUGAGAGGAUGAUCAGCCACACUAGAACUGAGACACGGUCCAGACUCCUACGGGAGGCAGCAGUGGGGAAUAUUGGACAAUGGGCGCAAGCCUGCUCCAGCCAUACCGCGUGGGUGAAGAAGGCCUUCGGGUUGUAAAGCCCUUUUGUUGGGAAAGAAAAGCAGCAGGUUAAUACCCCGCUGUUCUGACGGUACCCUAAGAAUAAGCACCGGCUAACUUCGUG
rnacentral:rRNA from 1 species